UAUUACUUUUAUAGUUUAAUUAAAAAUAUUAGGUUGUGAUUCUAAAGAUGUUUGACUAAG
rnacentral:tRNA from 1 species